UACGGAGGGGGCGAGCGUUAUUCGGAAUUAUUGGGCGUAAAGGGCGCGUAGGCGGCCUGGUCAGUCGAAGGUGAAAUCCCCGAGCUCAACUUGGGAACUGCCUUCGAUACUGCCGGGCUUGAGUCCGGGAGGGGAGAGUGGAAUUCCCAGUGUAGCGGUGAAAUGCGUAGAUAUUGGGAGGAACACCAGUGGCGAAGGCGGCGAUCUGGGCUGAUACUGACGCUGAGACGCGAAAGCUAGGGGAGCGAACAGG
rnacentral:rRNA from 1 species